rnacentral:rRNA from 1 species
UACGUAGGGGGCAAGCGUUGUCCGGAGUUACUGGGCGUAAAGCGCACGCAGGCGGUCGCGAAGAGUGCGGGGACAGUGGGCGGCUUAACUGCCCAAGGGUCGCACAGACUGCGUGACUGGAGGGCCAGAGAGGGACCUGGAAUUCCGGGUGGAGCGGUGAAAUGCGUAGAGAUCCGGGAGGAACACCAAUGGCGAAGGCAGGGUCCUGGCUGGCACCUGACGCUCAUGUGCGAAAGCCAGGGGAGCGAACGGG